UACGUAGGGGCUAGCGUUAUCCGGAAUUACUGGGCGUAAAGGGUGCGUAGGUGGUUUCUUAAGUCAGAGGUUAAAGGCUACGGCUCAACCGUAGUAAGCCUUUGAAACUGAGAAACUUGAGUGCAGGAGAGGAGAGUAGAAUUCCUAGUGUAGCGGUGAAAUGCGUAGAUAUUAGGAGGAAUACCAGUUGCGAAGGCGGCUCUCUGGACUGUAACUGACACUGAGGCACGAAAGCGUGGGGAGCAAACAGGAUUAGAUACCCGCGUAGUCCCUGAGCGGG
rnacentral:rRNA from 1 species